AAGCGUGCGCAGGCGGUUUUGUAAGACUGUCGUGAAAUCCCCGGGCUCAACCUGGGAAUGGCGAUGGUGACUGCAAGGCUAGAGUUUGGCAGGAGGGGGGUAGAAUUCCACGUGUAGCAGUGAAAUGCGUAGAUAUGUGGAGGAACACCGAUGGCGAAGGCAGCCCCCUGGGUCAAAACUGACGCUCAUGCACGAAAGCGUGGGGAGCAAACAGGAUUAGAUACCCGAGU
rnacentral:rRNA from 1 species